UUUCCAGAUUUUGAGACAUAAAAAAAGUCAUAGUUUUACAAUUCAGAAUGUGCUUGUUUAUCUAUGAGCUGCAACAUAUUGACCAAAAUUUUAGAUCUAAGAAUCUUUGCAUGGCUAAGUACCUCAUUCCUCUUACUGCAGAUACUUAACAGUUCAAGUACUCCAAUUUUCUCCACUGCCAUUAUAGCCUUCUCAGGGAAUCCAAAGGUGCAGCACUUUUGAUUUGGGAAAUUCGAAGGGUUAGUUCUCACAACUCUUUGUAAUAUGUAGAACAAUUUAUAAGUCGAGAACAGUCACUUCUCUCGUCAAAUUUAGAAGUCUCUAAGAUUUUUCUUUGUUUUAUUUUUUUAUGAUCCAGGGGCACGUACAUUGGAACCAGACAAAUUUAGCAUAAGAGAACAUCAAAUGCAACUCUAGAAGGAAGACAGCCUAUUCAUCAUGAAUUUCCAGAUUUUGAGACAUGAAAAAGUCAUAGUUUUUUUUUUUUUUUUUCUAUUUUUUCACCCAAAAAAAAAGUCAUAGUUUUACCUUUACCGAAAAAAAAAAUAAAAAUAAAAAGUCAUAGUUUUACAAUUCAGAAUGUGCUUGUUUAUCUAUGAACUGCAACAUAUUGACCAAAAUUUGGGAUCUAAGAAUCUUUGCAUGGCUAAGUACCUCAUUCCUCUUACUGCAGACACUUUAACAGUUCAAAUACUCCAAUUUUCUCCAUUGCCAUUAUAGCCUUCUCAGGGAAUCCAAAGGUGCAGCACUUUUGAUUUGGGAAAUUCGUAGGGUUAGUUCUCACAAAACUUUGUAAUAUGUUGAACAAUUUAUAAGUCGAGAACAGUCACUUCUCUCAUCAAAUUUAGGAGUCUCUAAGAUUUUUCUUUGUUUUUA
rnacentral:lncRNA from 1 species